rnacentral:lncRNA from 1 species
CUCCUUCCGACCUAGAAUUAUCUACUCCACCCCUCAUCCAGAACUGCCUCAGACUUUCAACUUCUUCUUCUAGCUCUCUCUUUUUUAGCAGUGCAUCCUGGAGCGCCUGACGAAGUCGCUGGCUUUCAUUCUCCACCUCUCGACACCUCUUUCUCAGGACCUCAGAUUCUGCCUCUGCAUCCGUGACGGCCUGUUGCUCGUACGCCAGCUGGAUCUUCAAUUGCUGUAGCUCAGCCAUCCUCUCCUCGAGGGCGACAGAAAGCCCUUCGGCAGUUUCCCUUAGGGACUGGAGUUCGUUGGAAUCCCGAGAAGAAGUGAGCUGAGCCCUAUCUGCCAGCUGCCUUUGAAGAUGGGCGACUUCGUCAGUCGCCACCCUGAGUCUCCCUUUAUAUUCAUCCACCUACCUGCGCCAACCGGCCCGAUGCAUGUCGUAGCUCACUUCGGCAUCCUGAAGCUGCUACUGAAGGUCAGAGACCUUCUUCGAUCACUCCCGAUCGCCGUCGGCUCGGGCCAAGAGCCGGGACGAACUUUCCUCCAGCUGGCC